CCUCUACACUGAGCUACAAGCAAGGAACGAGCAUCCCUCUUGGUUUGCCAUACCAGGGAACUGCUGGGUGAGAUUCACAACUUCAGCAGUGCCUAUUUCACUCCAACUUCACUGCUCUGAACUCUUUGCAACUUUGAAGAAGCGAGUUGGCAGAUAGACGGGUAGCCUCACCACACCGUGCUUGCACUACCCUUGGCCUUCAUCUGGAGCAGGUAGCUGAGACCAGCCAAAAGAGAGUAAGCAAAGGAUAGUCUGAAGCAUAUCAAAGCUGCAGAGUGUGUUGGUGCCUCACCAGCAGGGAGAAGUUCCCGACUCCCAUCUCUAUGAAGUGGAGCAGGAAAGUACAGCUUAUCCAGAUAAAAGGACUUUCCUCUGAGAAUGUGAAUUAACAAGCAAGUUGUAACUGGUGCCUGUGCUUCUGGCAUACGAUUAGCUCAAUUCGUGCCCCUUUUACAUUUCUAAAGCCAUGAAAGCCACCACCCUGGUGAGAUCGGCAUGCCAGCCCCAGCUGGAAAGAGUUGUGCCCCCACAGCACCCACCUGUGCCCCAACAACCAUGCCUCUUUUCAGGCAAAAUGCAGAAACAAAACCCACAGAAAUGCAGCCUUCUUCUGUGGGAAAGUUGGGCAGGGAGCUAUUACCAAAAUACAAGAGUUCUGCAUCAUAAUAACUCCUUGCUCUUGGAGACACGAAUAAAAGAAAUUUCAUGACUUCUUGCUCUGAGGAGCAGAGGAGCAGUAGUUAAAGCUCGUUAGGCUCUGGAGGUUUCAAAGCGGUUGAGUGAUGAGAUCACCCUUCUCCCGGCAGCCGUGCUUGGACACGAUGUGGUGGGAAGGUGCUGCUAGCUCUGGGCUUUGCUCAGCUCCUACGGAGCCCAGCGACCCAUCGGUAGCAGCACACACACACGGGGACCAGAGCAACUUUGUUGUUCCUGUUGGCAGUGCUACGUCUGGUGAAGGGAGGCAUGGAGCUGAUCAAGAGGAGUGGGGCUCUGCUGUGCAGUCCUCUGCCCAUAUCCCAUAUGGCACCACUGAGACUGCAUCAUCUAAAAAGGUGCCUGCUCACCCAAGCGAGGUGAGGGUAUUGCCUUUCCCAGGAGCUUAGGAGGAGCUGGCACGACUAACUUCACCCAGGAGACAUCCAAGUCUAGAGGCAUCCUUCCCUUCAUCCCAGGCUGUGGUGGUGGCUAACCAGUGACACAUCGCAUGAUGCUGUCGGACAGCACUAAAAAAGUCACGUCACCACUUUGUCCCAGCAUUGAGAAAAGAUCCACACUAGAAGAGCUGACUGAUGCAUCCCCCUCCUGCAUAGAAACUUCUCCCAAAACCCCAUCUACUACCACCCAGGCUGGGCUCUGUGAAAAUCCUCAGCACAUUUACCAGGCAUAGACUACAACUGGUUGCAUUAUAUCUGACUAAUACAGGCCUUUUCACUGUGCUGUCCUCUUGUGUUACAGGAAAGCAUGUAAAGAGUUAAAAUACACUAAAGAUUUCACAGCCCAUUUUCUAUCUUUUUUACAAACACCAAUUUAGAUUUAUCACACCAAGCUGGGAACAUUUUAUGGGACCUCUGACUUAAAACAUUGGCAACACAUCACCACAGAGGUCUGCCUUUCCUUUUCCAAAAAAAAACCAUGGAAAUACUAAGCUGGAACAGGCUGAGAUGGCCAGCCAGCUGUCUGCUAUUUGAAUCCCAUGAAAACCCAAAUACAGCUGCAGAUUCAACUUUGUUCUGGUCGAAUACAGCAGUCCUGGAAUGUGCUCCUUUCCACUGGGGCAUGAAUAGUGUCAAAAUUAAUGCUGCUUUCUUAGCAGUAUGGAUAAAAAGCUGUGUGACAAUUUUCUAAAGGCAUGUGUAAAUGGGAAAUUAUUCAGGAGCUAGCUGGUUUCUAAGGAGGUCCCAAUAAGAUCAAUUCCUGACUCUUUUUCUACUGAAAAUUUUAAUCACUGAUUUGGGGAGGAGGGGGGAAAGAAAAGAAAGAAACGAAGAGAAAUCAUGACCGAGAAACUCAAGGUGGCAAAAAACUUGUUGGAUCAAGCUGUGGUCAGGGUUAGCAGAACCAAGACAUGCUCCAGGAGGAGGAGAAGGAGGAGGAGGAGGGUGCCUCCAUCAUCCCCACAAAAUGCAUGACCAUUGUCAGAGUUCUCUGUCUGUUACCUGCACCCUGGUUGGGAAGGACACUGAGAACACGAAGAGGGGUUAGGGGAAAAAAAAAAUGCAAAACGAUGAUAGAAUGUGCUAAACCAAUGUAAUGAUCCAGGAGCUCCACCAGUUUUCCUAAGCAGGAGGAAGAGUAUGAUCACAGUCUAUAACUAUCAACCUAUGGAAGAGGAUUUUGAAGUCUCUUAUUCUGCAGAGAAAAGCGUAACAGCAGUCGGUGACUUGGUGUUGAAAAUAGAAAGCUUAGAUGAGAAACAGGUCACCAAUCAUUAAGUAUGUAGGUUCUCUUACUCUGCUUAGCUUGUCGGCUUCUACAGUGCUGGAAAUUUUAAAAUCAAUUGAAUUUUUUCUAGAACAGAUGCUCUUGCUCCAAUUAAUUUGACGAAAACUUAUGGUCUGCCAUAUGCAGAUAGCCAGAGAGAUGGUCAGUAACGGUUCCCCCUGGACUUGUAAUUUACGAGAAUAAAACCGAAAUUAUUACACGUACUUGAUAUAUA
rnacentral:lncRNA from 1 species